UACGUAGGGCGCAAGCGUUAUCCGGAAUUAUUGGGCGUAAAGAGCUCGUAGGCGGUCUGUCGCGUCUGCUGUGAAAACCCGAGGCUCAACCUCGGGCCUGCAGUGGGUACGGGCAGACUAGAGUGCGGUAGGGGGAGACUGGAAUUCCUGGUGUAGCGGUGAAAUGCGCAGAUAUCAGGAGGAACACCGAUGGCGAAGGCAGGUCUCUGGGCAUUAACUGACGCUGAGGAGCGAAAGCAUGGGGAGCGAACAGG
rnacentral:rRNA from 1 species